rnacentral:tRNA from 1 species
GAGGUUGUGGCUCAGUGGUAGAGCACUUGCCUAGCAUGUAUGGGUUCCUGGGUUCGAUCCUCAGCACCACA